ensembl:lncRNA
GUAAAUGCUAAAUAGUUUAGUGAUUUGAAUAAGAAUACAAGGCUGUGAACUCAGACUUUGUGAUAUUUAAUAUGAAAUACUUAAUAAUAUACGUCCUUUAUGAGUCAUUAAUUUUGUAAUAUAUAUACAUUUUAAGUUUAAAUCAUGAUUCAGGGCAUGAGAAACACAGAACAGUAGGUCAUGGAGCAUGCCCUACUCUACUCCUCUCAUUGAGAUUUUUGAAGUUUGAUAAUCUGACACAUCGAUUUUCAUAUGCCUUAUGGUUAUAAAAUCAGUUUCCGUUUAGUCCUCUCAAAGUUCCAGUUGUUAGUCUGAACAUUCAUCAUGAGAAUUUAAUGCCCAGACUGGCAUGUUUCUGUUGUCCAGAAAUAUAUGUAUGACCUUUGACUAUUACCUGUAUUUUGUCCCAUCUUGUCUGUUAAAAGUGCUUCUUUGUUGUGCCUCACUUUCUUCACACCAUGUGUAACACUUAGGUGUCUGGGUGAAAGGUGUGAACCCAUUUUGAGAAUAAAAUGCUAAAAGUAUUCUGCUCUGUGUACAUAGUCUGAAGACAGAAAUUGCCCUUUCAUUAUGCCUCUAUAGCUGCAUUAUCUUCCCUGUAAUGGUGAAAAUGCAUUAUCAUAAGUUUUGGCCUAUUGCCAUACCCUACUCAAAUAUCUAUUGGACAAUACUGUAGCAAGGACAUUUUUUGAAUUAGUGCCAAAUAUAGCAUUAUAUUUCAGUGCACAACCUUUAUGAAUAUAAUGAGCAGACAUUAGCAAUCUCCCAGUGCCUAAAUCUUAAAUAACUCCUCAGGAUAGUGAAAAGAUGUACAUCAUUUUGUCAGUAUUAAUACUGAAAAGCUGACCAUUUUGCUAAAUAGCAACAACAACAAAACUUUUAGAAAGAAAUAGAGUAGAUUUCCCACUGAUCUUAUAUUUAUUUUCAUAUACCUGGAUAAAACAAUUAAUUUAUAUGACUGCUCUUCUGCUGCCAUUUGCCACAAGGCAAGAGAGAUAAAUGGAAUAUUGGUGGGGAGGUUCAACCUCUACUAUCAUAUCACCAACAUCUGCCUCUGAUGUCAUGGGCACAUUAAAAUUGGAAACAUUACUUCCAGAGAGUAGACCUCGUGUUUUUAAAUAAGCAAACUUGAUAUUAAACACUGCACCCUCCACACCUGGAACAUCUGGAAAAACAUGGUCAAGGAGUGUCAGUUUCUGACAACUAUGCUUCCAUUCAUUAAUGGUUUGUUGUUGUAAAGUUUAUUUGUAUUUCUGUAUGAGGAAGAAACUUUAUAAUGGUUUAACGUGGCAGGUGGCUCAGCAUCACUCAGUCAUUUGCUCACUCUCCCCCUUCCUACUGGGAUGGGGGAGAGAAUCAAAAAAAAACAAAGAAGAGUUGAGAUAAAACUAAAAUACAGGAAAGGAAAAGGAGCAUAGUUAUGACCAUAUAUAUAUAAUAUAUAUAUAUUAUUUAAGUAAAUAUAUAUAUUAUAUAUAUAUGAAUGUAUAUAACAAGUGAUGCACAAGUAAUGGCUUACCAUGCCCAAACUGAUGCCCAGCUAGACCCCCAAGCAGCUGAAGAGAGAGAGGUGAACUCCCAUUCCCUCACAACUCUUUCCACAUGAUGUCAUAUAAUAUGGAAUAUCACUUUAACCAGUUUAAGUCAGCCGUCCUGAUUCUGUCAUCGUCUAUAGCAAAAUAGUGGUAACUUAACCACUUAAAAUAUAAUUUAAGACUGAUACUACAUUUACAAAAUAUUGCCCUUUUGUUUGGUUUGCUACAAGUAGGAAAUACAGCAACCACAGCUAAAUGCUUUCAGUCAAAACCAAAGGUGUUCUUUUUGAAUACCCCAUCAUCCAGGCAUGGAAAAAAUAGAGCUUGAUAUUCUGAAUUCUUGCUUCAAGAGGGCUUAAUGACUGCUUUUUAAAGCAACCAUAGCAUGUAUCAUCGUUUAAGGCCUAAUGCAAAACUUUUAGAAUUCAGUGGGAGUACUUAUGUGGGCUUCCAAAGGCUUUGGAUCAGGGUGUGAAAAGAAGCUCCAGGUCUCAUUGUUCAGUAAGAACUAGUGGAGUUUGUUUCAAAAGGUGAAACAGAUACUGAUCUGAUGCGUGAAACUCUAUUACAUGGUCUUCUAAACACUUGGACUAUGCCCUGGAAUUGUUAUGCAAGGUUCUUGCUUAAUAUUCAAAUCACAUUAAUAUUCAAGUUUGAACCUAAUAAUCUGAAAUUCUGUAGCCUAGAAAUUUUCGCUAACCUUCUUAAUUUGGCUAACACUUUCAUGCCUAGCUACUCAAUGAAAACUGCAGUGGUGUGUGUUUGUUUGGCAGCACAUUCUACUAGGUGUCAAUAUAAAAGGUUUGUAUGGAUUAACACAAAGAUAGCAUUGAUUCAGAAUCAGUCCAAAGUGGCACCAGUAUAUACACCUUGUUGCCUUGCCUCAACACAACUGGACCUGGGAUUCUCUUAUCCUAGGAAAGGGAGAAAAAUAAUAGAGAUGCCUGGAGAACAAGAGGAAACUUGGAAUAUGCCGGGUUUUGGGUUUUUUUGUUAUUGUUUUUUUUUUUCUUUUUUUUUUUUUGCUUGUUUGGUUUUUUCUGUUCUGUCUGCCCUGCAAAAGAAUAGAAGGGGAUAUGGGUGCUAACUGUAGCAGCUGGGUGUGCUGGCUUGAAGGCUGCUGGGAUUAAAUACCUGGUACGCGGUCUAACCCUCACCUCAGUCUCAGAAGGGGCAGCUGCAACAACAGACCUGUUUUGCCAAGGAAUGCUGCAAAUACAAGUGAUGUUUGUAGCAUGUCAAUCACUGUUUACUCAUCUGCAGUCAGAAGUAGUCACUCUGUCUCUGCCUAAAGUUCACUUUAUUUUUGUUUGUUUGCCUGUUUCUUGUAAGAGACAUAUUCAACACUCAUUUAAAUGCUGGCAAAAUCAGUCUUGACUAUGAAGACUUGUGGCUUUGAAAGACUUAAAUUCUAGUGAUUGACUGUGAUAUAAUCACUCUUUCUGUGUUAACUUUGUAGUUACACUGGCAAUUCUGGAAAGAGAAAUCAAAAAAUAUAUUAAAAAAAAAUCAGAGUCUGCUUCUGAGAUCUAACAGGCAGUAGAGGACUUCAGAUGGAUUUAGAUCAGUACUGUGAAAACAGUUUAAGAAGAUUCAGCAUCAAUUUAUUGCACAGUAAUGAGGGCAGUAACAUUAUAAGUAAGAUUAAAUAAUGGUGGUGAAUUUAACGCUUGUUAAUACCCUGCUCAGAUUGUGCCAAAUAAUGAUGCAGUUAAAUAUGUUUGUUUUGAUUUAGUAGCCAUUUCCUUUUUACACAGGAUAACAUCUAUAAAGGACGGAAAGUUAAAAGUUGAAAGUUAACAGUUCUAAGAUAAAAUGACUAUGGUUUCCUUAUACAAGGACUGUUUUGAAAGUAAUGCCUCCUAUUUUAUGACAUUGAUCCACAAUGUCAGAGGCAGAUGUUGGUGGUAUGGCAGUAAAUGUUGAACCUUCCUGCCAAUAUUCCACUACACGUUAUUGCCAUGUGACAGGUGGCAGCAGAGGAGCAGUCUGACAAAAUGGUGCCUGACAUGGUAGCACAGAUGAAGCAAAAGUGUGUCAUUGAAUUCCUCCAUGCAGAAAAAAAAUUGCUUCCAUUGACAUCCAUUGAUGCUUGCUGCUGAAUUUUUAUGGAGACCAACCAGUAGUUGUGAGCACAGUGAGGUGGCAGGUGGUGCAUUUCAGCAGUGGCAACAGCAGGAUAAAAAAGAAGCCACACUCCAGACAUCCAUGCAUAUUUUUAAGCUACUGUUCAUCACUGGUGGAAAUGCAUAGAAAAUGGUGGUGACUAUGUUGUAAAAUAGCAUUUUGUAGCUGAGAAUUUGCUCUGUGGAAUAGUGUUAUUGUGUUCCUUGUAUCUUUUGUAAUUUACAUUUAGAUAAAUAGUAGGUAUUACUUUCGGAGCAACCUAUGUAUUUUUCUCAUUAAAGUAAUUCUUAAAUAGCUUUGAAAUUUAUAUAUCCUUUCAAGUCACAUUUUUUUCUUUAUGUUUACAUUUUUAUCCAUGAAAAUUUCCAGCACAAUAAAAUAUAUGCUGGGAUUUUCAUUUCUUUCAGUGAUACAUGGUCAAUUUCGAAAGCUCUUUUUGUAUUUUCUAUAGAGAACAAAUACCUGAAGUCACAAUGGGGGAACUUCUGUCAUUCAAACAGCCAAAAUAAAUAAAUAAAUAAAUAAAUAAAUAUUAAAGUACUUUAUGUAGCCACUAUAUUAUAUUUUGGCAAUUCUGAUUGUUUCUAUCAGAUGGUCAAGACUGUUAUUGUAAACAACUGUCAGGUAUAGUAAAAGCUUUUUUUUUUUUUUUUUUCACUCAUUGUAUGUGAAAGGAAUAGAACAGUAAACUCUACUAAGACUGAUUUUUACUGUCCCUGAUGCAGUAAUUCAGUAAGCUGAAUUCAGUAAACUGAAAUUUGACAUUUGUUGACUUUUAAGACCAGCAAUAGUCAGCCACAGGGAGAAAACUAUAUAUGUUUUUUGUUUCUGACUUGUGUUCCUAAUCCCUAUAAAAUGUCAAACUGAAGAUGACAAAGAGCAGAUCUCUGAAAGAAUGUAACAAGAUAUGCUCCUGCGUCUUGACUUGCAAACACUUGCAGAACAUCAUUUUUUCUGACAGCAGAAAGGUAGUGUUUUCAUGAUAAACACCUAAAUACAUAAAAUGAAUUUUGGUGACAUUUGCUGACCAGAUCCCAACUUUAUCUCUUCUACUCACAUGCACAAUAUUCUUUUACUGACUCUCCAUUCCAUGGCAAUAUGCAGUAUGGAUGCGAUGAAGCAUGCUAUUUGGGGAACGUCUUACAGACUGACUCCCUCAUGAGUAGCUGCCAUACAGCUUGUGGUUCAUUGCUUAGUUAUGUAAUAAAGUACACACUGUACUUGUACAAGGAAAAAAAAAGAAAAGAGAUAAAUCAAAUACAACUAGCUUAUAACCUUUCACAUGGUGCUAUUAUUGUUUAAGGCAAAACAGCUUGAUUGCUGUUGCUCUCACAAUUAAUCUGUCUCUGAAAUAUCAAGCUACACAAACAAAAACGAAGCACUGUCACAAGAUUGAUGCGGGUUAUAGAGUUCUUAUGAUCUAAUGGAUGCUAAUACGUUCUGAAGGCAAGAUAGAGCACUUCACUUAGCUUGUACUUUACUUAGUCCUACCUUUCUGGUUUUCUCAAUUUGAAAAGUUCCUCUCUGUCAUGGUUUCUUUUUUCCAAAUACUUUUUAGCUUGUUUGUUUUGUCCUUUUUGCACAUUUUGUGUUUUGCAUGGGCAAUAUAAUUUCAACAACAUGAUGUAUUUGCAUGAAAUGGUUGAUUUGAUAAAUGCUGCUCUAAAUGCUUUUUCCACUUUCUCUUGUGAGAACUCUUAAUUUUGCCACAAAAGGAGGACAUUAGAAAACCAGAAUUUUUUUCUCUGAGUUUGAUCCUAGUUUUCUGCUUAGAAACCUAUUUCAAGAAAGGCAAACUGUUUCCACAGAAAAUCACCUUAUCAAAACCAUAGCUACUCACCUGGAAAGAUGCCAAUUUCUACAUUUUUCUGGAGAUUCUUAUUUACUCACCAAAGGAUAUCCUAACCAAAGAACCAAAGAACACUUCCCUGGUGGUAUUUUCAGAUCAUCCAUCAUUUCUGAAAGAUUUAAUUACAUGUAAAUCCAUGGCAAAAGUGCUGAUGAUUAAAUUCUGGCUCUGCAUUGCUGUUUAGUGCCAUUUACACUGAUGUAAUGUGUCUGAGCUCAGACAAGCUGCAGUCCAUUUUUCUCUUAUGUAAGCCACAAACAGAUCCACAACCAUCUGAUUUAUUAAAGAAUGGGUUACAAAGAUGUGUUUAGCAAUGAUGUAAUGGAUUUGAUUUCCACUCCCCUGCCUCUGCCUUUUUCCUUUCAGUACUUCUUAUUCUAUUGCAAAAAUAGUUAUAUAGCUCUAUAGAUAAUGGAUUCUGUAUGUUUUCUAGAAAAUCAGUCUGUAUAUAAAACCACAUGCAGGAUGUUAAGAGUUAUAUUUGCACUAAGUUGAGACAGACUUAUCAUUUGCAUAUUUUUAUAGACUUCUCUUUUGAUUUUAGAACAAUUAUGAGCAACAGCUAAAAAAGAAUACUAUAAGGCAACAUAGAAUCACAGAAUUGUUAAGGUUGAAAAAGGCCACUAAGAUCAUCUAGUCCUGGGCAGCCUGUUCCAAUGCCUCACUUCUGUUUCUUAGAAUAAUAUUUUUCCAAAUAUCCUGCCUGAACCUCCCCUGGCACAGCUUAAAGCCAUUCUCUCUUGUCCUAUCAGCGUUACCUGGGAGAAAAAAGUUCCUAUUCUCACUUCCACAAAAGUAAAAAAAAAAUAAAAAAAGCCCUUUUGGAAUUAAUUUAUAUUAUAUAUUUGCAAACAUAUUAAGCUUAUCUCUACCAUAUGUAUAUAGUCUAUCAUACAGUAUAUAGUGUAUACUAUAUAAAUACUACAUACACUUAUAUUUUUUUCUCAAAAU